CAAGUAAGUAAAGUGAUCGCAGGUUGUUAACCUGAGGAAAGUCCGGACUCCUGGGAGUAGAGUGCUUGGGAAAUCCAAGUAGGGGCAACCCUAAGGAAAGUGCCACAGAAAAUAGUCCGCUUGCUUUAUGCAAGUAAGGGUGAAAAGGCAGUGUAAGAGACUACCGGUGAUUCUGGUGACAGAAUCAUGCUGGAAAACCCCACUCGGAGCAAGACCAAAUAGGAUGGCGAAGGAAGCUCCCUCCAUGCUGUCGGGUUGGUCGCUAAGAUAAAUGAUCAUUCCACUAUUAGUGGAAACAGAAUCUGGCUUAUUACUUACUUGGGCU
rnacentral:RNase_P_RNA from 1 species